GUCUAGGGCGGGUCACUCGCCACUACUGUACACCGUUGGCGUCGUUCGACUUUCGAACGGCGUUUGGUGGCGGUAUUCCAGAAUCGAUGCAAGUCGUGCUCUGCAAUAGACGACCUGGUACGCUAUCGCGGUCGAGUGCUUCAUCGGAAUCCAGGCUCGCUGGGCUGCAAACCUGGUAUGUACAAAAGACUACAGAUGAUCCGUCAGGCUAGCGAGCGUGAACCAUCGAACUGCUUCCAUCUGGCAGGAUGCAUGCUGCGCCAGUUCGGCAAGCUUAUGCACCGGGAACUUGACACUCGCUGAAGGAGCAUAAGUCACUCACUUGGGUAUCUGGAUCUGGAGAGAGUGUCACUGGCGUUUCAUAGCGACCUGGUGACACUGACGCGCUUCGGCAUGUGCUUCGAAUCUGAACUGGCGGGCGCCGACCAGUGCGGCACUCGUUGCAGACCUAGGCGGACCCCUGCCUGCACUGUCCGCACUUGAGUACCGUAACCCGGGUUCCGAUAACAGCGGCUCUGGGCAGAGAAGCCCACGACAAGCUCGCGUUGACAGCUACCAGCGGGAACGCGCCAGCGAGGCGUGUCGCGCUUGCGGGCCCUGCGGCCGUCCCGGAACUGCAGCGCCGACACGCAGUAUUCGCGUCCACGACAAGCGGAUACGCGCUUUGGAGAAUGCCGCAGCGGACGAUAGCAGGCAUCUUGAGGGUAUUCACUUUACGUGUCUAAAAUGCGCCGUUUUCGUGAGCGCGCACGUGACUGCGAUCCCCGGCUCCACCUCUGUACCGCGAGCCGCCCCCCGAGGCACCGUAGCCUGCUGCUGAGCCCCGACGUCGAGUCGAGCGAGCGCCAUUGCGCGCAUAACCACGUCCAAAGCUAUGCUCGUACGUCCGCUUUCGAUUCCGACGAUUGACGAAUUGGUUCAGCUCCGCUGGCACCUCAUUCUGGGACUCCUCGAGUAUCUGCACCAGUUCAGAUGCGAGGCGCGCAUUUGCCGGUGUGAAGAAGGAGUAGGCGGUUCCGGUUGAGCCGGCGCGCCCUGUCCGUCCAAUACGGUGCACAUAAUCCUCUAUGGUUCCCGGAAAAUCAUAGUUCACAACAUAGGAAAUGUUCUUGAUGUCGAGGCCGCGAGCCGCAACAUCGGUCGCAACCAGCAAGCGCGCCUGCCCCGAACGGAAAGAUCCAAUCGCCCGAUCGCGCUCCAUCUGCGUCUUGUCGCCGUGCAGGGCAAGCGCUGCAAGUCCCCAGUGCUGCAACCGACGGCUUAGCUGAUCCGCUUUGCGCUUUGUAUCUGUGAAGACGAGGACCUUGGCGUUCGAAUCGGUGUCGGCGGAAGCGUUCAGCAACGUCUUCAACAAAGACUGGAGCCGUUCGGGUUUCUCGUCCUCAUCGAGCACCUGCACCACCUGCCGAAUGCUCUUGUUGGCACUGAGGUCGAGCCCACCGAUGUUGAUUUGAAUCCAGUCGCCCGCGGUCAAAAACUCACGGGCGAUGACUUGGACCUGGCGGGGCCACGUGGCCGUAAACAUCAGUGUUUGGCGGUCAGGACGAAUCUGGCCAACGAUCUUGCGUAACUGGGGUUCAAAGCCCAUGUCCAGCAUGCGAUCCGCUUCAUCGAGCACCAGGUAGGUCACGCGCCUGAGGUUGGUGCGGCCGCUCUCCAGAAAAUCGAUGAGGCGCCCCGGCGUGGCAAUGAGGAUCUCAAUACCCCGCGACAGCUCACGUGCCUGCGGACCGCGACUCACCCCGCCAUAGACGCAGGCGUUGCGGAUGCGAGACGCCGUGCCGAACUUGGUCGCUUCUGUUUGGAUCUGGACAGCGAGUUCACGCGUCGGCGCGAGCACCAGGCAGAUGGGUCCAUCGCCACGGCGCAGUGGCGGCUGGCCGUGAAUAUGUACAAGCGCCGGAAGCAGGUACGCGCAGGUCUUGCCGCUGCCAGUUUCCGCUAUGCCUAUGAGAUCGCGUCCUUUCAAGGCGACUGGCCAUGCCUGGGCCUGGAUAGCAGUCGGUGCUGUGAACCCGGCCCGCUGGAUACAUUGGACGAUCGCAGGCGGGAAGCCUGCCUCGAGAAAGGACUCACAAGGAUUCGGUACAUUUUUACCCCGAACAGUGAUCUCCAUUCGUUGCCGAAACGAUGCGACGUGCUCCGGUGAACGGCCUGCCACCUCGGGGUGCUCCUGAUAAAAAUUCCGCUCAAAAGGUACAAG